rnacentral:rRNA from 1 species
AUUGAACGCUGGCGGCAGGCCUAACACAUGCAAGUCGAGCGGAUGAAGGGAGCUUGCUCCUGGAUUCAGCGGCGGACGGGUGAGUAAUGCCUAGGAAUCUGCCUGGUAGUGGGGGAUAACGUCCGGAAACGGGCGCUAAUACCGCAUACGUCCUGAGGGAGAAAGUGGGGGAUCUUCGGACCUCACGCUAUCAGAUGAGCCUAGGUCGGAUUAGCUAGUUGGUGGGGUAAAGGCCUACCAAGGCGACGAUCCGUAACUGGUCUGAGAGGAUGAUCAGUCAACCUGGAAAUGGAAACGGGUCCAGGCUCCCAGGGGAGGCAGGAGGGGGGAAUAUUGGAAAAUGGGGGAAAGCCUGAUCCAGCCAUGCCGGGGGUGGGAAGAAGGUUUUCGGAUUGUAAAGCCAUUUAAGUUGGGGGGAAGGGAAGUAAGUUAAUACCUUGCUGUUUUGACGUUACCAACAGAAUAAGCACCGGCUAACUUCGU